AUUGAACGCUGGCGGCAGGCCUAACACAUGCAAGUCGAGCGAGCGGCGGACGGGUGAGUAAUGUCUGGGAAACUGCCUGAUGGAGGGGGAUAACUACUGGAAACGGUAGCUAAUACCGCAUACCAUCGGAUGUGCCCAGAUGGGAUUAGCUAGUAGGUGGGGUAAAGGCUCACCUAGGCGACGAGCCCUAGCUGGUCUGAGAGGAUGACCAGCAACACGGGGACUGAGACACGGUCCAGACGCCUACGGGAGGCAGCAGUGGGGAAUAUGGCACAAUGGGCGCAAGCCUGAUGCAGCCAUGCCGCGUGUAUGAAGAAGGCCGUCGGGUUGUAAAGUACUUUCAGCGGGGAGGCGUUACCCGCAGAAGAAGCACCGGCUAACUCCGUGCCAGCAGCCGCGGUAAUAC
rnacentral:rRNA from 1 species